rnacentral:rRNA from 1 species
GACGAACGCUGGCGGCGUGCUUAACACAUGCAAGUCGAACGGAAAGGCCCUGCUUGUGUGGGGUGCUCGAGUGGCGAACGGGUGAGUAACACGUGAGUAACCUGCCCUUGACUUUGGGAUAACUUCAGGAAACUGGGGCUAAUACCGGAUAGGAGCUCCUGCUGCAUGGUGGGGGUUGGAAAGUUUCGGCGGUUGGGGAUGGACUCGCGGCUUAUCAGCGUGUUGGUGGGGUAGUGGCUUACCAAGGCUUUGACGGGUAGCCGGCCUGAGAGGGUGACCGGCCACAUUGGGACUGAGCUACGGCCCAGACUCCUACGGGAGGCCGCAGUGGGGAAUAUUGUACAAUGGGCGGAAGCCUGAUGCCGCAACGCCGCGUGCGGGAUGACGGCCUUCGGGUUGUAAACCGCUUUCGCCUGUGACGAAGCGUGAGUGACGGUAAUGGGUAAAGAAGCACCGGCUAACUACGUG